rnacentral:rRNA from 1 species
GACGAACGCUGGCGGCGUGCCUAAUACAUGCAAGUAGGACGCAGUCGCGAACGGGUGAGUAACGCGUAGGUAACUACCUAUUAGUGGGGGAUAACUAUUGGAAACGAUAGCUAAUACCGCCUACUAGUAGAUGGACCUGCGUUGUAUUAGCUAGGAGGUAGGGUAAUGGCCUACCUAGGCAAGGAUACAUAGCCGACGUGGUAGGGUGAUCGGCCACACUGGGACUGGGACACGGGCCCGACUCCUACGGGAGGCCGCAGUAGGGAUGCUUCGGAAAGGUGGGGAACCCUGACCGAGAAACGCCGAGUGAGUGAAGAAGGUUUUCGGAUCGUAAAGCUCUGUUGUUAAGGAAGCGGUACUUAACCAGAAAGGGACGGCUAACUACGUGCCAGCAGCCGCGGUAAUAC